CAGAGUGAUAGAGGGGGUGACUAGUGACAUAGUGAGAGAGGGGGUGACUAGUGACAGAGUAAGGGAGGGAGUGGGUGACUAGUGACAGAGUGAAGGAGGUGGUGACUGUCACUAGUCACCCCAUCCUUCCCUCUGUCACUAAUCACCACCUCCCUCACUCUGUCACUAGUCACCCCUUCCCUCCCUCACUCUGUCACUAGUCACCCCCUCCCUCUCUCUGUCACUAGUCACCCCACCCUCUCUCUGUCACUAGUCACACCCUCUCUCACUCUGU